CAGCAGCCGCGGUAAUACGUAGGGCGCAAGCGUUAUCCGGAAUUAUUGGGCGUAAAGAGCUCGUAGGCGGUUUGUUGCGUCUGCCGUGAAAGUCCGGGGCUCAACCCCGGAUCUGCGGUGGGUACGGGCAGACUAGAGUGAUGUAGGGGAGACUGGAAUUCCUGGUGUAGCGGUGAAAUGCGCAGAUAUCAGGAGGAACACCGAUGGCGAAGGCAGGUCUCUGGGCAUUAACUGACGCUGAGGAGCGAAAGCAUGGGGAGCGAACAGGAUUAGAUACCCCCGUAGUCCCUGUCUCUUAUAC
rnacentral:rRNA from 1 species